rnacentral:rRNA from 1 species
GACGAACGCUGGCGGCGUGCCUAAUACAUGCAAGUAGAACGCUGAAGGAGGAGCUUGCUCUUCUGGAUGAGUUGCGAACGGGUGAGUAACGCGUAGGUAACCUGCCUGGUAGCGGGGGAUAACUAUUGGAAACGAUAGCUAAUACCGCAUAACAUUGACUAUUGCAUGAUAGUCAAUUAAAAGGUGCAAAUGCACCACUACCAGAUGGACCUGCGUUGUAUUAGCUAGUUGGUGGGGUAACGGCUCACCAAGGCGACGAUACAUAGCCGACCUGAGAGGGGGAUCGGCUACACUGGGACUGGGACACGGCCCAGACUCCUACGGGAGGCAGCAGUAGGGAAUCUUCGGCAAUGGACGGAAGUCUGACCGAGCAACGCCGCGUGAGUGAAGAAGGUUUUCGGAUCGUAAAGCUCUGUUGUAAGAGAAGAACGAGUGUGAGAGUGGAAAGUUCACACUGUGACGGUAUCUUACCAGAAAGGGACGGCUAACUACGUG